UACAGAGGUCUCAAGCGUUGUUCGGAUUCAUUGGGCGUAAAGGGUGCGUAGGCGGCGCGGUAAGUCGGGUGUGAAAUCUUGGAGCUUAACUCCGAAACUGCAUUCGAUACUGCCGUGCUUGAGGACUGGAGAGGAGACUGGAAUUUACGGUGUAGCGGUGAAAUGCGCAGAUAUCAGGAGGAACACCGGUGGCGAAGGCGGGUCUCUGGGCAACAACUGACGCUGAGGAGCGAAAGCGUGGGGAGCAAACAGG
rnacentral:rRNA from 1 species